rnacentral:tRNA from 1 species
UCCCGUGUGGCUCAGUUGAUAGAGCAUGGUGUUUGCAAUGCCAGGGUUGUGGGUUCGAUUCCCACAGGGGAC